CUUCCGGGCUGAGGCUCGCUGCUCUUUCUCUCCACCUCUCCGCUGCCGGGGGCGGGGUCUCCACCCGGCCUGCCCGGUUCGCCCGCCUGGAAGUUGAAGGACAAGAGCGAGCCCUGGUGGGCCGAGCGGAGGGGUGCAGCGACCUGCGUCUAUCCCGUGGGCGCCUUCCGCGCCCCGUCGUUCUCCGCCCACCUGCGGAGCUUCCCGCCAAAAUCUCUCCCCUAUGAGUAGAGCGCCCUAAAUUUGGCACCAGUAAAGAACUGUGGCUGAGCAACACGUUACUCACGGGCUCCUUUCUUUGUGCCCCCUUCUCAUCUCGUUCUAUAUAAAUCUGUUCAUAUUUUGAUGUCGUUGAGGAAUCUUUCUGACAGCAUCCGGUCAGUCUCACAAAAUGUAGAGUUGAGGAGACUUUGAAGAUUACUUAACCAAGGAUUUGGAACCUCUAGACUUAGAGGCCUGGAACACCCUGAAACGCGGGCAUAUUUUUGCUUAUUUGGACGUGACUCAGGAGAGGGGAUGGACCAUUGAUUCUAUCAGAUUCUCAAACUGUUCAUGAACUUGAAAAGAUUAAGAAAUAUUUAGCUAGUCCAAUUUCUUCUCACAUGACGAACCAGGCUGCACGGAAUGAAAAGAACUGCCAGCGUCACACAGAUGACCUAUUGGAGAUUACCAUUAUCCAAAUCACUGGGAAAAUCAGCUGGGAAGAGAGUUGAGUGGUGCAUUCUGCAGGGGUUAUCCUGCUAGGCCACAGAGGAGGGCAGAAAAUGGAUCUGAAGGGGGAUUUGGUGAGAUAAAGCAAAAGAGAUCAGAUGCACUGAAGAGGCAUGAUGUAUCUCAUCCAGAAUGUGCCCUGCUUCCACCUCUUCUGCUUUUCAAUAGCCACAACUGCCUUCCCAGCCUGGGAGGUAGAUGGAAAGUUCGGGCAUCUGAGCAAGACAUUCUAAGAUAUGGAGGCUGUCAAAGCAGGUCAGGGGUUGGGUGAAGGCAAGAGGACCACCUUUUAAGCCAUUUCCACUUGAUCAGGCUGAUAACCCUUUAGCCUCCACUGCCAGGUGUCUUAUCUUUGCCUCUCUACCUCUCUGAAUACGUGCAUUCAUAGCCUUAGCUCCUCUUUCCAGAGGUACCUGAAAUUAAAUGGUACUGCCACCUAACUGGGUAUACAGGUGGCAGGUUAAAGCCUUGGAUCUCAUAAGGCAGUGGUGGUGAACCUAUGGCACGCGUGCCACAGCAGGCAUACAAAACCCUCUCUGUCGGCACACAAGGCAAGUCACCCCAGCACCCAAGCAUUGGAUAACAGUUGUUUUUCUAAAGUAAAACCUCAGUGUUCAGGUUUAAUUGCAGUG